CACGUAAGGGGCAAGCGUUGUUCGGAAUUAUUGGGCGUAAAGGGUACGUAGGCGGUUUGGUAAGCCCGGCGUGAAAUCCUGCAGCUUAACUGUAGAGCUGCGCUGGGAACUGCGAAACUUGAGUCAUGGAAGGGGAGUUAGAAUUCCAGGUGUAGGGGUGAAAUCUGUAGAUAUCUGGAAGAAUACCGGUGGCGAAGGCGAACUCCUGGCCAAUGACUGACGCUGAGGUACGAAAGUGCGGGGAGCAAACAGG
rnacentral:rRNA from 1 species